AGAUUGAACGCUGGCGGCAUGCCUAACACAUGCAAGUCGAACGGGAGUAGCAAUACUCUAGUGGCGGACGGGUGAGGAAUACGUAGGAAUUUGCCCUUAAGUGGGGGAUAACCCGGGGAAACCCGGAUUAAUACCGCAUGACCUCGAAAGAGCAAAGUGGGGGAUCGCAAGACCUCACGCUUUUGGAGAAGCCUACGUCGGAUUAGCUAGUUGGUGAGGUAAUGGCUCACCAAGGCGACGAUCCGUAACUGGUCUGAGAGGAUGAUCAGUCACACCGGAACUGAGACACGGUCCGGACUCCGUACGGGAGGCAGCGAGGUGGGAAUAGUUAGGACAAGUGGGCGACAAGCCUGAUCCAGCAAUCGCCGCGUGUGUGAAGAAGGUCCUUGGGUUAGUAAA
rnacentral:rRNA from 1 species